rnacentral:rRNA from 1 species
CAGUCGCCGCGGUAAUACGAAGGGGGCUAGCGUUGCUCGGAAUGACUGGGCGUAAAGGGCGCGUAGGCGGCGGCCAAAGUCAGGCGUGAAAUUCCCGGGCUCAACCUGGGGGCUGCGUUUGAUACUUGGUUGCUUGAGUGGGGAAGAGGGUCGUGGAAUUCCCAGUGUAGAGGUGAAAUGCGUAGAGAUGUGGAGGAACACCAGUGGUGAAGGCGACUCUCUGGUCUGUAACUGACGCUGAGGAGCGAAAGCGUGGGGAGCGAACAGGAUUAGAUACCCGGGUAGUCCCUGUCUCUUAUAA